ACGGAACUUUUCACCGGGGUUACUUUUUGCCAUAUUACUACCGCCAUUUCUGGCGGAAAGUACUGACCUAUAAGCUGUGGAGCUGUGCAUAAGCUUUUAGUGUAUCUGACUUGGGUGGACCACGAAAAGAGUUUUUCUGUUUAGUGUUGAUGGCCAUCAAAGAGAAAUACUUUGACCAUGAUCUCAGGACUUUGCUCUGUGAAGACUAUGUCACCAUAGGAAAGAUAUUUGGUCUUAGCAUCCUGCAGAAUGGUACAUUACCCACCAACUGUUCUCUGAUGAGAAAUCAAGUUUAGGUUUCCUUCCCAUCUGUCUGUCCACUCAGUUUUCCACACUUUUCUCAAUCAUGCCUCAAGGUAUGUUGGUGAAAGUUGGUACAUGUAUAACUCCAACAGCAGGAUCCUAGAGGGAGCAGUAUAUGCUGCCUUUAUGAGAUAUAUUCGUGAAGUUGCCAGUGGAAGAAGAGGUGUGACAUUAUCAAACAUUUUAGAGUUUGUAACUGCUACCAAUGAGGAACCUGCUUUGGGCUUUUCGAUUAGCCCUUGUAUAGAGUUUGUAGUGAUAAGCAGAAGUUUCAUCCCAACUGCAAAUACUUGUAGUUGCUGUAUGUAUUUACCCCGACCAACAGCAACAGUGAAACUGCCAGUGGAUGAGCAAUUGUUUAGUUUGUAUGAAUACGCAUUCCAAAACAAAUAUUUUGGAAUACUUUGAGGCAGUGCAUUUUGGUGGAGAAACGUUGUAUGUAGACUGUUUUUUUAAGGAAAACAAAAAUGUUAUUUGAUUUUCAUAUGUUGUUUAAGUGAAUAACUGUUUUGAUAUUAACACUAUUUUUGAUACUGUAACUUAAUCAGCUUAGCAUAAAAUAUGCUGCUUUGUAAUACAACAAUUUGUAUUGGAUCAGUUGAUUGUGAGAAAAACUGCUGUUUUCAUUAAAACUUUGUAUCGGGAUGUGCUUUUGGUAAUGACAUCUUGUUAGUUCACUUGGAUUGAAACAUAUAUGUGUUUUUCAGUGUUCAUCAUCCAUCUGUCCAUUAUCACCUUUUUAGGUCACCUGAGACAAAGUCUCAAGUGACCUAUUCUAAUCGCCUUUUGUCCGUUGUCGUCCGUCCGUAAACAAUUUCCAUUUUCAACUUCUUCUCCAAAACCCCUAAACCAAAUUCAAGGAAAU